UACGGAAGGUGCAAGCGUUACUCGGAAUCACUGGGCGUAAAGCGUCCGUAGGUGUCCCGGAUAGUCUGGCGUAAAAGCACAGAGCUCAACUCUGUGUACGUGCCGGAAACUUCCGGGAUCGAGUCAUACAGAGGCAUCUGGAAUUACGUGUGUAGGGGUAAAAUCCGUUGAUCCACGUAGGAACGCCAAAAGCGAAGGCAGGAUGCUGGGUAUGUACUGACACUGAGGGACGAAAGCGUGGGGAGCGAAGGGG
rnacentral:misc_RNA from 1 species